UUUCCCCAUUUCAAACCCUAAACCUAAGUAACAUAGAAACGGCGCCCGUUUGCACUGUUCAUGGUCUUCUUCACUAAGCCCAAUUUCAAAUGGGUCCCCCUCUUCUCAGGCGAGUUCACUCAAAUGGGCCCCCUCUUCUCCAUGUUAUUUUAUUCCAAACGGUCUUUUGUCAGAAAGGAACGAAUAUUCUCUCCGAAUUGUAUGAUUUUUGUACGAAAGAACGAUUCGCUAGAUGAAUGGGAGAUCGAUCCAUGCCUUCCAUUUGUCCCAAAAAUCGUUCAAAAACGUGAGGAUUUUCGGAUAUUUGGGGAGAAGCUUCGAGAUUAUUUUAAGGAUUAUAUAUAUGAGAUGAUUCUGUGCAGUGAUUGCUUUCUUUGAGCUUAUGAGUAAUGUACUUCAAGUGCUGAAAUGUAAAUUUUUGUGCUUCGAUGAAACGAGCAAGUCUGUCUAUUCUUGUCUUGAGAUUGA